ACGGAAGGCAGCAGUGGGGAAUAUUGCACAAUGGGCGCAAGCCUGAUGCAGCGAUGCCGCGUGAGGGAAGAAGGAUUUCGGAUUGUAAACCUCUGUCAACAGGGACGAAAAUGACGGUACCUGUGAAGGAAGGUCCGGCUAACUACGUGCCAGCAGCCGCGGUAAUACGUAGGGAGCAAGCGUUAUCCGGAAUUACUGGGUGUAAAGGGAGUGUAGGCGGGACUGUAAGUCAGAUGUGAAAUAUGCCGGCUCAACUGGCAGACUGCAUUUGAAACUGCGGUUCUUGAGUGAAGUAGAGGUAAGCGGAAUUCCUAGUGUAGCGGUGAAAUGCGUAGAUAUUAGGAGGAACAUCAGUGGCGAAGGCGGCUUACUGGGCUUUAACUGACGCUGAGGCUCGAAAGCGUGGGGAGCAAACAGGAUUAGAUACCCUGGUA
rnacentral:rRNA from 1 species